UACAGAGGGUGCAAGCGUUAAUCGGAAUUACUGGGCGUAAAGGGCGCGUAGGUGGUUGACUAAGUCAGAUGUGAAAUCCCUGGGCUUAACCUAGGAAUUGCGUUUGAUACUGGUCGGCUAGAGUGUGGGAGAGGGAAGUGGAAUUUCAAGUGUAGCGGUGAAAUGCGUAGAUAUUUGAAGGAACACCAGUGGCGAAGGCGACUUCCUGGACCACUACUGACACUGAGGCGCGAAAGCGUGGGGAGCGAACAGG
rnacentral:rRNA from 1 species